AUCCCUUGACAUCCCGGUCGCGAUUUCCAGAGAUGGAUUUCUUCAGUUCGGCUGGACCGGAGAC
rnacentral:rRNA from 1 species